rnacentral:rRNA from 1 species
UACGGAGGGCGCUAGCGUUGUUCGGAAUUACUGGGCGUAAAGCGCACGUAGGCGGCUAUUCAAGUCGGGGGUGAAAGCCCGGGGCUCAACCCCGGAACUGCCCUCGAAACUAGGUAGCUAGAAUCUUGGAGAGGCGAGUGGAAUUCCGAGUGUAGAGGUGAAAUUCGUAGAUAUUCGGAAGAACACCAGUGGCGAAGGCGACUCGCUGGACAAGUAUUGACGCUGAGGUGCGAAAGCGUGGGGAGCAAACAGG